CCCCCCGUAGCUCAGUGGAUAGAGCAGGAGCCUUCUAAUCUCUUGGUCAGGCGUUCGAGUCGCCUCGGGGGGACCA
rnacentral:tRNA from 1 species